AAAGGCAAUUGAUGUGAAAUUAGAUUAUUGUACGCUGAAUUUGAUGUGGACUACAACUCCGCUUAUUACCUGAUGCCUUC